rnacentral:tRNA from 1 species
GGGGAUGUAGCUCAGUGGUAGAGCGCAUGCUUUGCAUGUAUGAUGUCCUGGGUUCAAUCCCCAGUUUCUCCA